AGGACCACCCGAGCUGGGUGCCUGUGGGCGGAUGCUGCCUGUGGGGGAGGGGACCACUGCUACGGAGGGAAGCGAAGUCCCCCCCACAGCCCAGGGACUGCUUCUCCCGCUGGCAAGUUGCCCUCCCUUCCCCACUGGAGAAAUAGCAUCUAAUGAGGUAGGAUGUUGCCUACGAAAACACACCUCUCUAAACAAGUUACUCUCUGAAGUGCCACCCUACCCUGCUUUCUCCUUUACUUCAGACUAACUUGGGUAACUACCUCUCUCUCAUCUCCUGCAGUGAAUACAUAAGAAGUUAUAACAGCAAGUAAGGAAAGAAGAAUGAAGUACCAGCUUGGAAGGAGUAAGAGAAUGGGAUAUCAAGUCUUCUGCACCCUGGUUCUCUUGAACCAAAUGUUGAGACUUUCUGGCCAGAUCAAGCCCCCUCUCCUGUACAGCCAUGUUGGGGUCUGUAGUUGGAUGGGGCUUGCCAU